rnacentral:pre_miRNA from 1 species
UCUUGUGGAUGAGCAAAGAAAGUGAUUUCUCGAGAUGGAAUCUACUCCUGUUGAAGAUGCUCUGAA